rnacentral:rRNA from 1 species
CGGCGGACGGGUGAGUAAUGCCUAGGAAUCUGCCUGGUAGUGGGGGACAACGUUUCGAAAGGAACGCUAAUACCGCAUACGUCCUACGGGAGAAAGCAGGGGACCUUCGGGCCUUGCGCUAUCAGAUGAGCCUAGGUCGGAUUAGCUAGUUGGUGAGGUAAUGGCUCACCAAGGCGACGAUCCGUAACUGGUCUGAGAGGAUGAUCAGUCACACUGGAACUGAGACACGGUCCAGACUCCUACGGGAGGCAGCAGCA